rnacentral:misc_RNA from 1 species
GGAAUAUGCAGAUCUCCCUGUUGGAAGAAAUGGAAGAGACGAUGAGGAGAUGAUUCUAUGGUUCUUGAAGGAUCGUAAAUUCUCAGUUGAUGAUGCUGUUUCCAAGCUGCAUAAAGCCAUUAGAUGGCGUCAUGAAUUUGGUGUAUCAGACUUGUCAGAAGAGUCAGUUAAAAAUAGUGCUGAAACUGGAAAAGCAUAUGUGCAUGACAGUUUUGAUGUCAAUGGAAGACCAGUCUUGAUAGUGGACGCAUCAAAGCAUUUUCCUCAGAAGCAGGAUCCCGAUGAAGAUGAGAAGUUAUGUGUCUUUCUAAUUGAGAAGGCAUUGAGUAGACUUCCUGCUGGCAAACAAGAUAUACUUGGUAUAUUUGAUCUGAGAGGGUUUGGAACAGAGAAUGCAGAUCUUAAGUUCCUUACUUUUUUGUUUGAUGUAUUCUACUACUAUUAUCCAAGACGAGUGAGUCAGGUUCUUUUUGUUGACGCUCCUUUUGUGUUCAAACCACUGUGGCAGCUUGUCAAACCCAUGCUCAAGCAAUACGCUUCAUUGGUGAGAUUUUGC